UGUUCAUAUUUAAAAAGUAACGCAAAAGUAAAGUAAUGGAUUACUUUCCAUAAAAAGUAACUAAGUAACGCAGUUAGUUUUUAUUGAG